GCGGCACGCUGAUGUGCUGGUGGAACGCGCCGUGAUGCGCGCCGUACAGCAGCUCCGUGGACGCGCCGCUCAGGCCCGUGCACAGCGGCUCAUGGUUGCUCAGGACCGUGGACAGAUAUUUGGCCUCUUCUAUGAGGAAGAAUCCAAGACUCAACUUGCAUUGUCUUCUGACAGGCAGAUAUCUACAGAAAUGUCCACAGUUACUCUAGGGGGUCAUGAUGGUUCCCGCACAGCGUCGUCACCGGCCUGUGAUCUGCAGCUCGACUAGCCGCUCCGCUGCCUUCCAGUCACCCUAGGGCCUCAAGUAAAAAACACGCCAUGAGAAGACACUACAGGAAACGUGUCAUACGGAGGGAAAUUUCAGCUUCCUGUUUAUCAAGCAUAGCCGUGAAGAGUGAAACCACAUACUACACUGAACACAGAAGAAGAAUUUACUAGGUGCCGUGAGCUGAGCGGUUCACCCACGCGAUGUAAUUAAUGCCAGAAUCUGAAGCAAACAAGACCAGAGCCACAACAAGUGUGAAGCACGACAGAAGCCGUGACGCAUCACCACAUGGAUGGACCGGCACACAUUUUUGAGGAAGCUUUUUAACCAGGAGGAGGCUGAAGGUCCAGAGCAUGUCCACUUAUCCCACUGGGUGAGGAGCAGAUUCUGACAACCGCCCACGUGAGAAACAUGUUCUGCCAAAAAGACGCAUUUUUAAAAGGCUGGAACUGCUAAGCAGAAGGUCAGACAUUUGAUCAAAGCAGCUUUCAGAGCAAGAGAGUCUGAAGCCAGACCUCAGGAAAGCUGAUCAACCCAAUUCUGACGUGACAAAAAGUACUAAAGACAGAAAAUGAACAAACAACAAGCAGCCCACUCAACCCGGCUUAACUGUGAGGAUAGGAAUGAUAAAUUUGAUGAGAAUGUAAUUGAAAAAUAUAAUAUUGCAUUAAACUUGAAACUUAAAAUGGUAAACCAAUAAAUACCAUAAAUGUUAUCUGGAUACAUUCUGGUUGUCAAAUAUUAGUGUUACAAGUGUCCAAAUAUAUUUUGUCACUGCACUAUAUGAUAAUGGAAAACUGUGUGAUAUUGACACAAUUCUGAGAGGAGAAAACAACAGGAUUGAUGAAAAACAUAGAUGUAAGGCAAUGGAAACCUCAGUGGAAAUAAUGUGGUUUCAUCAUGUAAAUUUCACACUGACAAUAUCUAAUUUCCACAAACAGAGUUUACUGAAAAACAAUGAAAGUGAAAGAGGAAAAAAAGAAAGGUAUGUAAGAGGAUGUAUGUAUUGAAUUUACAAAAGUGUAAAUAAUAAAAUAAUAUCAAUCCAUCCAUUCUCCAAACUGUAUAUUCUCUGGGUCCCAGGGAUGCUGGGGUCUAAUAAUGUAAAUAUAAAAUAAUAAAAAUAAAUAAGCAAAUAUAAUAUUUUAAAAUAAGAAAAAAUAUAAUACAUUAAUUUAAAUAUUUUUAAAUUAAAAAAAUAAUAAUAAAAAAAUAA